rnacentral:rRNA from 1 species
CAGCCGCCGCGGUAAUACGUAGGGUGCGAGCGUUAAUCGGAAUUACUGGGCGUAAAGCGUGCGCAGGCGGUUUUGUAAGACAGGCGUGAAAUCCCCGGGCUCAACCUGGGAAUGGCGCUUGUGACUGCAAAGCUAGAGUGCGGCAGAGGGGGAUGGAAUUCCGCGUGUAGCAGUGAAAUGCGUAGAUAUGCGGAGGAACACCGAUGGCGAAGGCAAUCCCCUGGGCCUGCACUGACGCUCAUGCACGAAAGCGUGGGGGGCAAACGGGAUUAGAUACCCCAGUAGUCCCUGUCUCUUAUAA